rnacentral:misc_RNA from 1 species
CACGAGUGGUGUUUGGUUUGUUACGGGUGGUUGGCUCUUUGCUUGCGCAACAACUUCCUCCCGGCAUACCUUUUCAGUCUUGUGUCAAUGCUUGUAUGUCAUUGAAUGCAUGAUGGGUUUCUUGUGUUGCAUACCUAAUUGAUGGUAUCGUUUGAUGAAUUGGUUUCCCUUUUCGUCUUGCGUCGCUCAUGCAACGUGAGAUGAACCUUGAGGCAGCCCUUGUGAUCCACUAUUUUGAUGCAUAUGCAUUGAUUUUGUGGCUCAUUCAGUGUUGCUUGGUCUUAUGGAUAUGGAACCUGGUGUGGGCAUGGAAUCUUAAUGGUUCCUUGUUUGCCCAAAUAUAGCUUUUCUAAAACGAUCGUCUAUCUUGUGUUAACGUGAUAGACUAAUUCGUAUAUGAAUG